rnacentral:tRNA from 1 species
CAACAUGUAGCUUAACCAAAGCCCCCCGCUUACACCGGGGAAAUGUCUGUUUAACUCGGACCAUUUUGA